GAUGAAGAACGUAGCGAAAUGCGAUACGUAAUGUGAAUUGCAGAAUUCAGUGAAUCAUCGAAUCUUUGAACGCACCUUGCGCCCUUUGGCUAUUCCGAAGGGCAUGCCUGUUUGAGUAUCAUGAACACCUCAACUCUCAUGGUUUGCCAUGAUGAGCUUGGACUUUGGGGGUCUUGCCGGCCUAUGGGUCGGCUCCUCUCAAAUUAAUCAGCUUGCCAGUGUUUGGUGGCAUCACAGGUGUGAUAACUAUCUACGCUUGUGGUUUUCCAUCAGGUAACCUUCAGUGAUGGAGGUUCGCUGGGGCUCAUAAAUGUCUCUCCUCAGUGAGGACAGCUUUUUUGAACGUUUGAUCUCAAAUCAGGUAGGACUACCCGCUGAACUUAAGCAUAUCAAUAAGCGGAGGA
rnacentral:misc_RNA from 1 species